UGCAUCAACAGUUCACCUUGAGUGUGUUAUAGUUUGACUAUGCCAUAACUUGGUCUCUUAGCCAUUCAGAAUCCUGAGGUGUAUGUUGGCUGUAGCACAUUCAUUGUAGGAACUAGGUCGCACCAAGAUGGGAUCUAUUAAUCUCAAUAGAUUAGAGGAGUAGUCCUAUGGUGAUCAAAAGAUCGAGUCCUUAAGCCCAUGGCU
rnacentral:lncRNA from 1 species